CUUGCAUAAGAACUUAGUUUAAAGCUCUCCUUCCUAGGUUGCUCUUUCAAAGAUGCUCUUUACAGAACUGGCCAGAUGGAUCGUAUCACUUGAUAGCAGGCCUUCACCUCAGAACAUCUGCCUGUUUUUCAAAUAAUUCAAGCCCUUCACAUUUAUGCCACCAUCUCAGCCACAUGUUUACUUCCAUGAUAUGAUGGUCCCUGCCUGGGCCCUUAGCUUCCACUUGGAGAAUUGUUAAGAACAACAGUUGUGCUCCAAGCUCCUUAAUCCUCCUGCCAAGCGCCUCAUAGUCACCUCUGAUUUGCUCAGUGUAAUUUCUGGCAGUAUUGUUGGUGCCUGCAUAGAUGAGAAGGAAAGGGUAAUAGUGUGAGGCGUAAAUGAGCUCAGGCAAUCUUUCUGCGAUAUCCUGAAAGUGGGCUCAAGGCAGACAGUGCACCUCCCGAAACCCCAAAUCCAGAUAACAAAUUGGUGCCUCUAUUACCCACAGAAGGGAGUCUCCAACCACCACUACUCUCCUUUUCCUUUUUGGUGCAGUCAUCUUGGAACCACCAUCCCUGGGUCCCUGAGUUUCCUGCUGUAUUGCUGGGUCCUCUGGGUCCCACUGCUGAUGUCCUCACCUCUGCUUUGUUCCCACCUGUUCUACUGCAGGGUGCUUGAAAGCAGUUGCUGACUUAAAUCUGCAUCUGUUGAAUUCUGGGGACCCUUCUAGUAGUGAUAUGUUGCCACUUCUCUUUUCCCUUUGGUCUCUCUUGUGUGCUUCUUACGACUUCUAUCCAAGAAGUCUUCAUUUUCCCUGAUAGCAUGAAGCAUAUAGAUCCCUGAGCUUUCAACCCUUCAAUCUUUUCCUCCAAGGUGGACAUCAGCUUAUACUUGGUACAGAUUAAAUGAUCUUGACCCUCUGGGAGGAACAUGAAUGUGACAUGUCCCAUGCAAGUAACAACAGCUAAUCCAGUUUCUAUUUAUGCCUCCUAUCUUCCCUGGAGGACACCUAGGCUAUAGGAAACAAAGCAAAGUGGGGGAAGAAAAAAAACACGCCCACCCAUGUGUGCAUGCAUGUGUUGCUUGCUGGCUGGCUGGCUGGCUGGCUGUCUAUCUCUCUCUCUCUCAGCCUCCUAUUCCCUGUCUCCCUCCUGUGACAAAUUCUCAGACAGGCUCCCCCUCUGUACUUCUCCUCUGGCUUUAUAGACAUCAGUGGUAUCAUUUUUCCACCUUAAUGUUACUAGCUUAACAGAGCUCUUUCAGGUCAUGUUCACAAGCAUACUAGAGGUAGGCAAAGCUAAAUGGAAAGGUAUCAGAGAUAUGGCCCACAGAGUCCUGUCAUCUGGCCCAUGCAGCUAACAGUGGAGGACAAUGUUAAUUGCUGCUGUUGCCACUUGUCUUUCCACCACAUUUUCAACCUGUGCCCAGCUUCAUGGACUGAAUGACAUGCCUCUGCACUCCAGAUUAAGCCCACAGACCAGACCUGCACUACUCUGGCCCACAGGCUGAAUGGAUUCAUGCUAUAUGAGAGAGUGCUUUGAAAUCUUCCUUAAUCUAACAUGGGCUAGAAGCAUGAAUGGCCUGGUCUGAAUCCAAGCUAAAUGUGGUAGAACCUAGAAUCCGGCAAGCCCUAUUCUUGUAGGUGCUGCUAUCUUAUAGUGCAUCUCCUUGAGGGGACAGAGGCACAGCCUUUUUGGUGUCUUGGGCUGGCUCAAGUCACCCAGCUGCCUGUCAGUGAAUAUAGCCAAAUCCUAUUUAAGCUUCACAUACCUAAAUUGCAUAUAAAUUGUAUGAGGGGAGGUUACCUUUGGCACUACUGUAUAGUUUGGGGUUCUGUUUUGCCCUGUAAUAGCAUAGGACCACCCUGCAGCUCUGUCUUCAUGGCUAAAUUCUUUAAUCACCAGGCCAUGUACUAAGCAUUGCCCUGAGAGUCCUCCAGCCCCCACUUUGAAGAUAGUCCACUGUGCCGUCCAGUCUCUGGAUAAUGCGUUAAAGAAUAAUGGAAAGUUGUUGCCCCAUUAGGAACAGGGGCCUAGGCUAAACUAUAGGGCCCUAUCCUUUCCUGGACAAGAGUCAUAUUGCUGAAAUAUGCCUCUCUCCGCAGCUCUCUCCUAUCCCGCUGUUUUGGUGCCCUGUGGGCCAGUGUCAAGAUUGGCUUCUUAGGCUCGUGAAGGGGAAAUAGAAGCAGAUCCCUUGUCAUUCAGGCUAAGGCAGUUGGAUGUGGUGCUGAGCCUCACCAUCAGGCAUGGUUUAAGCAGCUACAGAAAGAUGGCGUCUUUUAUUUACAUGAGCUCAAGGGGCCCCUUGGCUCAGGUGGACUUUUUAAGGGACUUGAUAUGCUCCUUAAGCUUACUAGUUUCUGUUGUUCUACAACUGCUAGCUGUUGCAUAGAGUUAAACGUGUUUGCACUUCUGCAGAAUUAUGAGCACAGUCCCCAGCCUGCUUGUCACUGAUACUAAGUUGGCACCAAAACCACACCCCUCCAGGUGUUUGGAUGAACUUUCAGGCCUCAAAUACCCUUAGGUUGCCAGAGGGGCUUUAAUGCUGCCAGAAGAGGCAGAAGGCAAGAGGUGGAUGCAGCUGCCACUUCUCAUUGCCAAAUUUCUGACCUUAAGGCAGCUCUGUGGGCUGGAUGACAUACAUGGCUCUGCACUCUGGAUCUAGGCCAUUGACCAACCCCACACCACACAUCUUGCCUCUGGGGCUGAAUGAGUUUGGCACCCUGAUCUAGCCAGUGAAGAUAUCGCAGCAUAGCCUUCAGUUCAGGUUAGGUCCUGGGCAUGUAGUCCAGGGGAUAAAAAGACAGCACCUGAAGAGGGGGGGAAUAAACUGAACUUGGUUCUCUGAGAUGGGAUAUUUUGGAUAAGCUAGACUCGCUAAAGCCCUAAGGUAAGAUGAAUAUUAUUUGGACUUUUUGUGAUAAAAAACAUUUUAUUUGUUCAGCUUUGUUUCUGCUGUUGAGAGUAAACUGUUCUCUGUUUUGGAAAAGCUUGUUUAGGUCUUCAUAUUGAGCAUGGGUCCCUGUUCCUGAAGUGAAGCCGCCACAAGAUUCAAACCCAUUCAGACCUGCUGAGCAUUCAUAGCUGGUUCACCAUCACUCCAGCUCCAGUCUGCAAUGUCAGGGAUCCACGCCUGCUGCAACAGUGAGUAUUUCGGCUCCUCUGAGACCAUUAUGGUGAGAAGCCUCUCAGCAUCUGGCUUCUGCCAAUUGCCCCUGCUAGGGCAAGUGACCUCACUGUGUUGCUCACGUUCCCUCAGGGACCAUUUUUCCAGUCCUCCCUGGGUGUUGCUCCAGGUUGCUUUUGAACCAGUGGACACAGGCCGGGUGCCAAAUCACUGCCAACACACAUUUACAAAGCAUGCCCAGACUGGCACUGGAAGUCCGCCCUGGUCUGCUGCCAUGCUCAGCAUCAGCUGUUCCACUCGUCAGUCCCGUGCCGCAGGUAAGUUACCUCUCAUGGUAGUGUCCCUGGCACAGUGGUCUUGGAGUAGUUUUGUAUUUAUGGGAUGAUGACAGAAAUCAGCCCUUGAGAAGAGCAUGGCCAGGGAAGAGGGGGCAGUGGACCAAUUCUUGUCGCUGGCUUUACAUUUUCACAAUCUAAAUGAAGUAGGAACUUUGCAAUAACUCUAAGCAGGAGAUGGGCAGGUUUGGCUGG